GCCCUGCUAGCUCAGUCGGUAGAGCACGAGACUCUUAAUCUCAGGGUCGUGAGUUCAGGGCCCACACUGGGCC
rnacentral:tRNA from 1 species